rnacentral:rRNA from 1 species
UUCCAGACUCCUACGGGAGGCAGCAGUGAGGAAUAUUGGUCAAUGGGCUAAGGCCUGAACCAGCCAAGUCGCGUGAGGGAAGACGGUCCAAUGGAUUGUAAACCUCUUUUGUCGGGGAGCAAAAGACGCCACGUGUGGCGUUCCGAGAGUACCCGAAGAAAAAGCAUCGGCUAACUCCGUGCCAGCAGCCGCGGUAAUACGGAGGAUGCGAGCGUUAUCCGGAUUUAUUGGGUUUAAAGGGUGCGCAGGCGGAAGAUCAAGUCAGCGGUAAAAUUGAGAGGCUCAACCUCUUCGAGCCGUUGAAACUGGUUUUCUUGAGUGAGCGAGAAGUAUGCGGAAUGCGUGGUGUAGCGGUGAAAUGCAUAGAUAUCACGCAGAACUCCGAUUGCGAAGGCAGCAUACCGGCGCUCAACUGACGCUCAUGCACGAAAGUGUGGGUAUCGAACAGGAUUAGAUACCCUGGUAAUG